UUUGACCCCUAUAUGACCUUUGACCUCAUCACCCUCAUGGACUCACAUGUGGUAUUACCUUAUGGUUAUUUGUACCACUUGUAAACCAAAUUGAUGCAAAAAAAAAUCUGAAUAAAAACUCAACGUUUUUACCCCUAGAUGGCUUUUGACCUCAUGGACAUGCAUGAGGUAUUGUCCAAGGAUCAUAUGUACAUACAUCUAGUGUCAAAAUAAUUGAUGCAGAAAUAAAGAAAUUAGAGCAAUUUGAUAAAAAUUGACCUUUUGACCCCAAGAUGAUCUUUGACCCCAUGACCCUCAUGGACACACAUGUGGUAUUACCUAAAGAUAAUACGUCAACAUAAUUGAUGCACUAAUAAAGAAAUGAGAGUAAGUUAAACAAAAACUAACAUUUUUGUAACAGACAAACAGGAAAAGUGAUUACUAGGUCUCUAGCAAACUUUGUUCAGGCAAGACAAAUAGGUAUUGCCUUCUUCAUAGCAAAAAAAGAACAAAAAGGGGCUUAUUCAUAGCAAAUAAAAGAAACAAAUAUACCCAAAAAGGAAUAGUUGGGUGUCUGUACUAAUCACAUAAGAAGUGAUAACACUUGAUACCAGCCUUACUUCAACUUGUGUGUUAUAGAUGGUCCCUGUUUUUUUUUCAUUACCAUACAUGUACAUGUAUCACCCAAUCACUCUAAAUCAAAAGUUUUUAAAAAAUCUGAAGAAAUAUGCAGAGUUCUAUUCAGUUGUUGUAUAUAAUUCUGGAAGACAUUGAUAAUACAAUAGAUAGAUAUAGAGCGCAUUUCCUCGUUCAUUCUUUCAGUAUUAUGCAAGAAAAUAUAUCUUUUUCUAGCCCUGCACAUUACAUUUAACUUACUGUACUAUACACUCAACUUGUCCACUCUUCUAGUACAGCACAAAAAAAUAUAUAUCUAUAUAUGCAUACAUCCUAUCUUAGGGCGAAGUCUAUGAAUGGGUUUAUUCAUAUUAUUAAUACACAUUUAGACGUUAAGUUGAGGGGAGAGGGCGCUAAGGCGCAUUACGAACAUUGAAAAAAGACAAAGAAAUUUGCCUUAAACGCAGAUGUAGAAAGAUAGAUAUUAUACAUAUAUAUAUAAUAAUAAUAACAUACUGUUAUAAAAUAUUUAAAAUUCUUUGAAAUUGUUCACUUUCUCCUUCCCUUUGAACCUCCCUCCAAUUUUGUUUGAAACUAUUUAGAGGAUGAGAAUUAGAUAUAUUCAAAAUAAAUCUGCAUGGUCAUAAAGAGUCUAACAUUAUUCUUAUGCAAAGAUGUACCGCAAAAGAUGAGAAAAAUAGUCUUGCUGUCUAUUACAUCUCAUUUCUCAGCAAAUAAGGGGUUUAAAAAUUCACACUUUUUUGUAAUUAAGUAUAGGAAUUUUUUAGCAUUAAUUAUCUUUUAAACCUGUUACAUUCAAUAUUUAACAAAAAAAUUCCUAAAAUCAUAUACACCUGGCCAUUUUCUUACAUCCCACACUAACAAAGAAAAAAAAUCUAAUUCACGAACACUGACAAUCAAUGUCUUAUAUCAGCAGUACAGAUUCUAACAAUUUCAUUUUACAAGCACAAGUUUUAAACAGCAAAGAAUUUAAAGGAGAAAAAAAUAAAAGGAGAUGAAAAGAAUUUCCUUUUACUUACCACAUAACAUAAAUUCAAAUAUAAAAGAUACAUGAGAUGGAAGGUUAAGUUUCAUGCUUUUAUCCAUAAAAUGUUUCAUUAAUCACAAAGACCACAUAUUUCUUAACAAAAACAUAAAACACAAAAAUCCUUGACCUAGCAUCAUAGAAAUUGAUAAAAUAUAUUCAAGGAGCAUUCAGAGAUAGAUUCUUUAUAUUUCAAAGGCACGAAAAGGAAGCACCACAUAGAUGUUGGUAUCAUGAUACCAAUAUUUAACAAAAUAUAUAAAGUGAUGAUGAUGAUAUAUCAUCUCCCUGCAGCUAAGAUUUAAUCUCCUGUAUGUAAGGUUAAACUAAAGAGGGCAGUAUUUCCUUUUGAACACUGCUAAGGUCAACACAUUUGAAGAUGGGCAAUUCCAGUAUGUACCACCUAUAUGUGAGAUAUUUACUUCUCUGUUUUCUAGUUUAUAUAAAGAUAGUAUUGCUCUCAAAUUAGCAUGGCUUAGUCAGUUCAUAAAAAGAAGUUAGGUUAGACAAACCAAAAAAUAGUCUAUUAUUUUAUGGAAUUGUCCGGAUAACAGCAGGGUUUCUUUCCAUUUUUACAGAGUGAGAGAGAGAGAGCUACAUAGAAUGUUCUUCUUCACAUACCUGAAAUUUAUUCAGACUUCUUAAAAUGACAUCUAUAGGAGCUCAUAAUGUGCACUAAUGUAAUUUCUAUGGGCUUUGCUGCAAACCUCAUGGAACUCGAGAAUAAUUUUGGAAUUAAAAGUUGAACCUUACAUAUCUACAUAUAUGGUAUGAAAGAUAUCAUCUUCUUCAGUGAUUUACUUCUAAGCAUUCCGCUUUCACUUUUAUUUUUUCUUCUUUCGUGUGUUGGUACAUGAAGAACUUUACAAAUUCUGGUUAUGUUCAAUAUCAAGUCUUACGUCUUCCAGGUUGAUUAUUUCUUGCAUAAUAUUUUCAUCAACCACUGGUGGGGGGGGGGGUGUUUGACAAAGAAAUAAGUAUGACAUAGUCGCACUAAAAUGCCUAGUUGAGUGCAGUAUAAAAAACAUGACCACAUUGGUCAGAUCAUGCCAAGAGGAUGCGCACUACUGCAUAUUAAUCAAUAAGAUUGCACGUUACAUAUCAUAUACGCUUCAGCAUUUAAGUGCGACUCUAAGUCAUACUUAAUCUUUGUGAUGAAACACCCCCUGGUCUUUGCAAACUAGGAAUUCCAAAAGUUUGUGGUUAUAAAGAUGAUUGUGGAAUGUGAAUGAUGACUUACCAAUACCAAACAGAUCUGAGGAAUA